rfam:Trichobilharzia regenti genome assembly, scaffold: TRE_scaffold0012647
GUCCUGCUGAAGAGUCCCAAAACUAGGACGAAACAGCUGUCCUGUAC